rnacentral:rRNA from 1 species
AUAGCGACUAUCGUGGCAUAUCAAUAAGCGGAGGAAAAGAAACUAACAAGGAUUCCCUUAGUAACGGCGAGUGAAGCGGGAAGAGCUCAAAUUUGAAAUCUUCAAGGUUCUACCUUGACGAAUUGUAGUUUAUAGAAGUGUUUUCUGUUAGUGGAGUGGCGAAAGUUCUUUGGAAUAGGACAUCAUAGAGGGUGAGAAUCCCGUAUUUGGUCAUUCCUCCUAGCGUUGUGAUACACUUUCAACGAGUCGGAUUGUUUGGGAAUGCAGUCCAAAGUGGGUGGUAAAUUUCAUCUAAAGCUAAAUAUUGGCGAGAGACCGAUAGCGAACAAGUACCGUGAGGGAAAGAUGAAAAGAACUUUGAAAAGAGAGUUAAACAGUACGUGAAAUUGUCAAAAGGGAAGCGUUUGACACCAGUGUUGUUUUCUCGAAAAUCAAUUAAAAAUGAUGGGAUUUUGUGUUGUAUUGACUUUAUCAGCUUUCUGCACUUUUUUCUUAUCUUUUUUAAUGCACUUUUCGUUUAACAAGUCAACAUCAAUUUCUUUUGUUGUAAAAGAGUCAUUGGAAGGUGGCUUUUUCUUCGGAAAAAGUGUUUAUAGCCUUUGGCUUCUGCAAUCGGAGAGAUUGAGGUCUGCAGCGUAGAUCCUUCGGGGUUAGAUACAUUUGUGCUAAGCUAUAGUUCUUUAUAGACAACUUGUUGACUAUAAUCAAUCCUGUAACUUACUCGCUUAUGCUAUUUUACCUACGCUUAGGAUGUUGACGAGACUGUCGAUCUC